UACGGAAGGCAGCAGUGGGGAAUAUUGCACAAUGGGCGAAAGCCUGAUGCAGCUAUGCCGCGUGUAUGAAGAAGGCCUUAGGGUUGUAAAGUACUUUCAUCGGGGAGGAAAAAACAAAACUAAUAAUUUUAUUUCUUGACGUUACCCGAAAAAGAAGCACCGGCUAACUCCGUGCCAGCAGCCGCGGUAAUACGGAGGGUGCUAGCGUUAAUCAGAAUUACUGGGCGUAAAGAGCACGUAGGUGGUUUUUUAAGUCAGAUGUGAAAUCCCUGGGCUUAACCUGGAACUGCAUUUUGAAACUGAAAUACUAGAGUAUCGUAGAGGGAGGUAGAAUUCUAGGUGUAGCGGUGAAAUGCGUAGAUAUCUGGAGGAAUACCUGUGGCGAAAGCGGCCUCCUAAACGAAUACUGACACUGAGGUGCGAAAGCGUUGGGGAGCAAACAGGGAUUUAGAUACCCGU
rnacentral:rRNA from 1 species